UGGAAAAGAAAAUAAACCAAAAUUAAUUCUAAACUACGAGGGUUUUUGAAGGCGUCACACAUGACUUUUUUACAUUCAACCCCUACUGUCUUAUUUAUAGAGGUGUUGGCAGCCUAAAUUAGGUAUUCGGCACGUCCUAGGUCUUUGUAUAAGUUUGAUUGCAUGGACAAAAAUAACCUUAAAAUAUUUGGACAGCACGUCAACCGUGUAUUGUACCACACCCAUUGUGUGGCACAACAUGACAUGCAAAUAUUGUCUUGUGUUGUUUCUUUGGUGUUUUGACGUCCCAAGAAACUUGUGCAUCACUCGACCUUUGCUUCCAAGUCAAUUGGGUCUUUAUAUCUUCAUCUUGUACUCUCAAUUGAACCAAUUAGCACAAUCUAAGUCCCGUGUCGGCCUAUUGGGUCACAACACCUACAAAAUGUGUUAAAAACACUUAUUUUUAUUAACUUUCUAUCCCAAGGCCUAAAUACUGAAAAUAUAAAUUAAAAUCCUAAAUUUCUUAGAAAACAAUAUCCUUAAUAGUGAAAUUGGCCCGUAUUAAUUAAUAUAUUUGACUACAAGUCAAAAGACAUCUUCAUCCUACAACAAUUGCAAAUUCGCUUGGAGCGCAAACAACAUAGACUCUACCCCUUCGUACGCAGUUUAGCGUCUCAAGCAGCAAACCUCCGAUACACUCAAAACUGGUCCAUUUAACUUUGUUUUCUUCUCUAUAAUAUUUAGUUUCUUGUUCGUUGUCUUCUAUAUGUACAAAAAAACAAAAACAAAAAGAACGUCUAUAUUCUAGAUUCUCUUUUAACCCUCCCAAUGCCUUGAUCUGUUUUUUGUUGCCUCAAGAUGCAUUUAUUGGCAUCCCUCCAUCAAAUAUCCAUUUGUCUCAUACUACAUAUCUUUCAAAAGGGCAAGAAAAAGAAAAUAUUUCUCGUUUAGGGAAGACUAUAUCGCUUAUUGUUGAAAUUCAAGCACCCAAAUAAAUGAAAUUUAGCAAAAUUCAAAAGUGAAAUAAUUUUAUUGAAAGAACGAUAUCAUUUUGUUGGAAGAAGGAAGAAGAGAAAUAAUUUUUAAAGGAGAUUUUGGUGGAGGAAGAGAAAUAAAUUUAGGGAGAAAAUUUUAAAACUCACUUCUAUUAUAAAUUUUUUUGUUUCUUUUUUAUUUUUUGCUUGG
rnacentral:lncRNA from 1 species